AUUGAACGCUGGCGGCAGGCCUAACACAUGCAAGUCGAGCGGUAGAGAGAAGCUUGCUUCUCUUGAGAGCGGCGAACGGGUGAGUAAUAUAUCGGAACGUGCCCAGUAGUGGGGGAUAGCCCGGCGAAAGCCGGAUUAAUACCGCAUACGACCUACGGGUGAAAGCGGGGGAUCGCAAGACCUCGCGCUAUUGGAGCGGCCGAUAUCAGAUUAGGUAGUUGGUGGGGUAAAGGCUCACCAAGCCAACGAUCUGUAGCUGGUCUGAGAGGACGACCAGCCACACUGGAACUGAGACACGGUCCAGACACCUACGGGUGGCAG
rnacentral:rRNA from 1 species